rnacentral:rRNA from 1 species
CACGUAGUUAGCCGGGGCUUUCUUCUCAGGUACCGUCACUCCGUUAGCAGUUACUCUAACGGACGUUCUUCCCUGGCAACAGAGCUUUACGAUCCGAAAACCUUCAUCGCUCACGCGGCGUUGCUCCGUCAGACUUUCGUCCAUUGCGGAAGAUUCCCUACUGCUGCCUCCCGUAGGAGUCUGGGCCGUGUCUCAGUCCCAGUGUGGCCGUUCACCCUCUCAGGUCGGCUACGCAUCGUCGCCUUGGUGAGCCGUUACCUCACCAACUAGCUAAUGCGCCGCAGGCCCAUCCGUAAGUGACAGAUUGCUCCGCCUUUCCAAGUCCACCAUGCGAUAGACUUGCGUAUCCGGUAUUAGCUACCGUUUCCGGUAGUUACUCCCGGUCUUACGGGCUAGGUUCGCCUACGUGUUACCUCACCCGUCCGCCGCUAAGUUAAUCGAGGAGCAAGCUCCCGAUUAACUCCGCUCGACUUGCAUGUAUUAGGCACGCCGCCAGCGUUGUCCUG